rnacentral:rRNA from 1 species
UUAAGCGACUAAGCGUACACGGUGGAUGCCCUGGCAGUCAGAGGCGAUGAAGGGCGUGCUAAUCUGCGAUAAGCGCCGGUAAGGUGAUAUGAACCGUUAUAACCGGCGAUACCCGAAUGGGGAAACCCAGUGUGACUCGUCACACUAUCAUUAACUGAAUCCAUAGGUUAAUGAGGCGAACCGGGGGAACUGAAACAUCUAAGUACCCCGAGGAAAAGAAAUCAACCGAGAUUCCCCAGUAGCGGCGAGCGAACGGGGAGGAGCCCAGAGCCUGAAUCAGCAUGUGUGUUAGUGGAAGCGUCUGGAAAGGCGCGCGAUACAGGGUGACAGCCCCGUACACAAAAGCGCAUGUGCUGUGAGCUCGAUGAGUAGGGCGGGACACGUGGUAUCCUGUCUGAAUAUGGGGGGACCAUCCUCCAAGGCUAAAUACUCCUGACUGACCGAUAGUGAACCAGUACCGUGAGGGAAAGGCGAAAAGAACCCCGGCGAGGGGAGUGAAAAAGAACCUGAAACCGUGUACGUACAAGCAGUGGGAGCACAGGUUUACCUGUGUGACUGCGUACCUUUUGUAUAAUGGGUCAGCGACUUAUAUUCUGUAGCAAGGUUAACCGAAUAGGGGAGCCGGAGGGAAACCGAGUCUUAAUUGGGCGUUAAGUUGCAGGGUAUAGACCCGAAACCCGGUGAUCUAGCCAUGGGCAGGUUGAAGGUUGGGUAACACUAACUGGAGGACCGAACCGACUAAUGUUGAAAAAUUAGCGGAUGACCUGUGGCUGGGGGUGAAAGGCCAAUCAAACCGGGAGAUAGCUGGUUCUCCCCGAAAGCUAUUUAGGUAGCGCCUCGUGAAUUCAUCUCCGGGGGUAGAGCACUGUUUCGGCUAGGGGGCCAUCCCGGCUUACCAACCCGAUGCAAACUGCGAAUACCGGAGAAUGUUAUCACGGGAGACACACGGCGGGUGCUAACGUCCGUCGUGAAGAGGGAAACAACCCAGACCGCCAGCUAAGGUCCCAAAGUCAUGGUUAAGUGGGAAACGAUGUGGGAAGGCCCAGACAGCCAGGAUGUUGGCUUAGAAGCAGCCAUCAUUUAAAGAAAGCGUAAUAGCUCACUGGUCGAGUCGGCCUGCGCGGAAGAUGUAACGGGGCUAAACCAUGCACCGAAGCUGCGGCAGCGAACGUAUCACUUAAAGCGAUUCAGCGGGUUACGAUUGACGGAGCGAAGCGACGUCAAAGCGUAUACAAAGUCGAGUCGGUUUAAGGAUACGUUCGUUGGGUAGGGGAGCGUUCUGUAAGCCUGUGAAGGUGGCCUGUGAGGGUUGCUGGAGGUAUCAGAAGUGCGAAUGCUGACAUAAGUAACGAUAAAGCGGGUGAAAAGCCCGCUCGCCGGAAGACCAAGGGUUCCUGUCCAACGUUAAUCGGGGCAGGGUGAGUCGACCCCUAAGGCGAGGCCGAAAGGCGUAGUCGAUGGGAAACAGGUUAAUAUUCCUGUACUUGGUGUUACUGCGAAGGGGGGACGGAGAAGGCUAUGUUGGCCGGGCGACGGUUGUCCCGGUUUAAGCGUGUAGGCUGGUUUUCCAGGCAAAUCCGGAAAAUCAAGGCUGAGGCGUGAUGACGAGGCACUACGGUGCUGAAGCAACAAAUGCCCUGCUUCCAGGAAAAGCCUCUAAGCAUCAGGUAACAUCAAAUCGUACCCCAAACCGACACAGGUGGUCAGGUAGAGAAUACCAAGGCGCUUGGAGAGAACUCGGGUGAAGGAACUAGGCAAAAUGGUGCCGUAACUUCGGGAGAAGGCACGCUGACACGUAGGUGAAGUGAUUUACUCACGGAGCUGAAGUCAGUCGAAGAUACCAGCUGGCUGCAACUGUUUAUUAAAAACACAGCACUGUGCAAACACGAAAGUGGACGUAUACGGUGUGACGCCUGCCCGGUGCCGGAAGGUUAAUUGAUGGGGUCAGCGCAAGCGAAGCUCCUGAUCGAAGCCCCGGUAAACGGCGGCCGUAACUAUAACGGUCCUAAGGUAGCGAAAUUCCUUGUCGGGUAAGUUCCGACCUGCACGAAUGGCGUAAUGAUGGCCAGGCUGUCUCCACCCGAGACUCAGUGAAAUUGAACUCGCUGUGAAGAUGCAGUGUACCCGCGGCAAGACGGAAAGACCCCGUGAACCUUUACUAUAGCUUGACACUGAACAUUGAGCCUUGAUGUGUAGGAUAGGUGGGAGGCUUUGAAGUGUGGACGCCAGUCUGCAUGGAGCCGACCUUGAAAUACCACCCUUUAAUGUUUGAUGUUCUAACGUGGACCCGUAAUCCGGGUUGCGGACAGUGUCUGGUGGGUAGUUUGACUGGGGCGGUCUCCUCCUAAAGAGUACGGAGGAGCACGAAGGUUGGCUAAUCCUGGUCGGACAUCAGGAGGUUAGUGCAAUGGCAUAAGCCAGCUUGACUGCGAGCGUGACGGCGCGAGCAGGUGCGAAAGCAGGUCAUAGUGAUCCGGUGGUUCUGAAUGGAAGGGCCAUCGCUCAACGGAUAAAAGGUACUCCGGGGAUAACAGGCUGAUACCGCCCAAGAGUUCAUAUCGACGGCGGUGUUUGGCACCUCGAUGUCGGCUCAUCACAUCCUGGGGCUGAAGUAGGUCCCAAGGGUAUGGCUGUUCGCCAUUUAAAGUGGUACGCGAGCUGGGUUUAGAACGUCGUGAGACAGUUCGGUCCCUAUCUGCCGUGGGCGCUGGAGAACUGAGGGGGGCUGCUCCUAGUACGAGAGGACCGGAGUGGACGCAUCACUGGUGUUCGGGUUGUCAUGCCAAUGGCACUGCCCGGUAGCUAAAUGCGGAAGAGAUAAGUGCUGAAAGCAUCUAAGCACGAAACUUGCCCCGAGAUGAGUUCUCCCUGAGACUUAGAGUCUCCUGAAGGAACGUUGAAGACGACGACGUUGAUAGGCCGGGUGUGUAAGCGCAGCGAUGCGUUGAGCUAACCGGUACUAAUGAACCGUGAGGCUUAACCUU